rnacentral:rRNA from 1 species
ACUACGGGGGGCAGCAGUGGGGAAUAUUGCACAAUGGGGGAAACCCUGAUGCAGCGACGCCGCGUGAGUGAAGAAGUAAUUCGUUACGUAAAGCUCUAUCAGCAGGGAAGAAACACUGACCUUACGGUCAGCAGACGGUACCUGAGUAAGAAGCCCCGGCUAACUACGUGCCAGCAGCCGCGGUAAUACGUAGGGGGCAAGCGUUAUCCGGAUUUACUGGGUGUAAAGGGAGCGUAGGCGGUGCGACAAGUCUGGAGUGAAAUGCCGCAGCUUAACUGCGGAACUGCGUUGUAAACUGGCGAACUAGAGUGCGGGAGGGGUAAGCGGAAUUCCUAGUGUAGCGGUGAAAGGCGUAGAUAUUAGGAGGAACACCGGUGGCGAAGGCGGCUUACUGGACCGUAACUGACGUUGAGGCUCGAAAGCGUGGGGAGCAAACAGGAGUAGAUACCCUAGUAGUC